CACGUAGGGCGCAAGCGUUGUCCGGAAUUAUUGGGCGUAAAGAGCUCGUAGGCGGUCUGUUGCGUCCGCUGUGAAAACUCGGGGCUUAACCCCGAGCCUGCAGUGGAUACGGGCAGACUAGAGGUAGGUAGGGGGAGAAUGGAAUUCCCGGUGUAGCGGUGAAAUGCGCAGAUAUCGGGAGGAACACCGGUGGCGAAGGCGGUUCUCUGGGCCUUACCUGACGC
rnacentral:rRNA from 1 species